GGGGUUAUCACUAUAGGGUCAUGAAUUCAUGUUUGUGUUCCUGACCCUAUAGUGAUCCUUUAAGGUAAUGCUGACUUUGGUCUUUCUAACACUGUGGGAUGUUCCCUUUCUUCUACACUCACUACAUCUUUUCUAUGUCCCAGACUAUAUACCAGGAGCUUCUGCCUGCUAGUAAGAAGGUAAGGAGACAAGUGGACCAGCGAG
rnacentral:lncRNA from 1 species